GUUUGGUUAAGUUAGAAAGGGCGCACGGUGGAUGCCUUGACACUAGGAGUCGAUGAAGGACGGGACUAACGCCGAUAUGCUUCGGGGAGCUGUAAGUAAGCUUUGAUCCGAAGAUUUCCGAAUGGGGAAACCCACCAUACGUAAUGGUAUGGUAUCCUUGCCUGAAUACAUAGGGUAAGGAAGACAGACCCAGGGAACUGAAACAUCUAAGUACCUGGAGGAAGAGAAAGCAAAUGCGAUUUCCUGAGUAGCGGCGAGCGAAACGGAACAUAGCCCAAACCAAGAGGCUUGCCUCUUGGGGUUGUAGGACAUUCUAUACGGAGUUACAAAGGAACGAGGUAGACGAAGCGACCUGGAAAGGUCCGUCGUAGAGGGUAACAACCCCGUAGUCGAAACUUCGUUCUCUCUUGAAUGUAUCCUGAGUACGGCGGAACACGUGAAAUUCCGUCGGAAUCUGGGAGGACCAUCUCCCAAGGCUAAAUACUCCCUAGUGAUCGAUAGUGAACCAGUACCGUGAGGGAAAGGUGAAAAGCACCCCGGAAGGGGAGUGAAAGAGAUCCUGAAACCGUGUGCCUACAAAUAGUCAGAGCCCGUUAAUGGGUGAUGGCGUGCCUUUUGUAGAAUGA
rnacentral:rRNA from 1 species